UCAGAUAUGAAGUUUCGACUACAUUGAAUUUCGGCACCAACAUAUAUUUUUUUUAUAAAUGUUAAUAAGUCCACGUAAAACUUCAUGUAUAUAUAUUUUUAUGUCCUAUGUUUUUUAUAUAUCUCAUUUAUUUUUCUUUUUUUAUAGAAUCGAUGAGUUAUCGAAAUACGAAUUGUUAUAUAAUCUCCUUGAAUUAUUGAUUCCAGCGCAAAUUUAAAUAGGUCGCAUGCGUCGAAACAGCCCGUACGCUAGCAACAGUUAUUCAUACUUUCAAUUAGGUGACAAGAUAAAAGCGCAAUGCUAUACACGGUGAAUGGAUCCUGCGUGUCAUGUGUUGUCUAACAGAGAGGCUUAGAAGCAUCUUUUCCUUCACGACAAUUUUACGGAUUACAUAACUGAUCCUCUAAAAGAACGAUAAUAAAAUUGUAAAAAUCUUUAAUCUCUAAAAUAGAUUACCGCCAUUGCUAGCCAAAGUCAAAUCUGCGUAAUAUUCGUUAAAUGUGCUAUCCUACGAUACGACAAACGUUAUACAUAUCUCCCUAAUAUAUGAGCUAAUUCAGAUCCUUUUAUAAAUUUGUAACUUUGUUAAGUAGUGAUUUGUUUCAGGAAGAAAAUAAUUGACAAUUUCUUUACAGUGUAAAUGCGAUGUAAUCGAUAUUACCACGAAAUCAAAUUAUCGACAUGCAGUGAGAGAAAUCUCUCAGUCGAUAAAACAUUCAGAAGAACGCAGAAGAUGCAAAUGGAGGAUGAAAGGGCACGGGAGAAGCACGUUCCAACAAAAAUGGAAGAAACGCCGCGUAUGGUCUAGCGCUCGAACGUCCGAAGACAAAUUAAUCUUCGCCACGAUUCAACAGCGUGAGAUGGAAUGCGUUCGAGGGAGUAACGGGUACAAAAUAUCUUGCAUACACGAAUCGCGAGGCCACCUCUUCUCACCGUACCCAGGGACGACUAACCAAAAGAUAUUAUCGCAACACAAGGAAGAUUUGGAAGAAAAUGCGAAAUACGGAGAGAAAAG